UCAGGAUGAACGCUAGCGUACAGGCUUAACACAUGCAAGUCGAGGGGCAGCAUGAAGAUGUGCUUGCACAACUUUGAUGGCGACCGGCGCACGGGUGAGUAACGCGUAUCCAACCUUCCCUAUAGUAGAGAAUAGCCCGGCGAAAGUCGGAUUAAUGCUCUAUGUUCUUCUUUGAUGGCAUCUGAGGAGAAGCAAAGGUUCACCGCUAUAGGAUGGGGAUGCGUCUGAUUAGGUAGUCGGCGGGGUAACGGCCCACCGAGCCAACGAUCAGUAGGGGUUCUGAGAGGAAGGUCCCCCACAUUGGUACUGAGACACGGACCAAACUCCUACGGGAGGCAGCAGUGAGGAAUAUUGGUCAAUGGGCGAGAGCCUGAACCAGCCAAGUAAGCGUGCAGGACGACUGCCCUAUGGGUUGUAAACUGCUUUUAUAGGGGAAUAAAGUGAGGUACGUGUACCUUUUUGUAUGUACCCUAUGAAUAAGGACCGGCUAAUUCCGUGCCAGCCGCAGC
rnacentral:rRNA from 1 species